AGUCGCUUGCUGAGUCUGGCUAAAGUCAAGUAUUAAGAUCCACCAUUUUCUGAGCCAUGCUAAAAAAGAAGAAAAAAGUCAGGACGGUUCCUGCUUUCCAAGUCUCCGUUGGCACCAUCACAAAAUCUCAGUCGUAAGGUCACAUGAUCCUCUGCCAAAUGUAGAGUGCAUUCCCAUCAACCAUUCUGCUGAUACUGCGAAGGCAGCUAUUGUCUCGUUUAGACCCAAAGUUCAGCCCACUCUUCAUUGAAUUAGCUGAAAAACGCAUCACCUUUGGGGGCUGGGAGUCAUGGAAACGUCUACCUGGCAAGCUGCCCACUUUUUCUGCCCAUCAACCAGAGAUGGAAUUGUGCUGCCUAAUGCAAUGAUGACUUGGAAUGUGAAGAGUCGUCCAAAGUGAAUCUGAUUCUUGCAAUGCCUGCUCCAGUUUGCACGGAAAACUCUGGCUUCUUGUAGUUAGGAGGGAGGGGGGGAAUCUUUCCUACUAAAUGUAGCAAAUAAAGGUCUGAACAUGCCUACUCUGCAACUUUAUUUCACAACACACCCAAGUGGUUCUCAAAUGAAAAGACUG
rnacentral:lncRNA from 1 species